UGCACAAUGGGGGCAACCCUGAUGCAGCGACGCCGCGUGAGCGAUGAAGCCCUUCGGGGCGUAAAGCUCUUUCGACCGGAACGAUAAUGACGGUACCGGGAGAAGAAGUUGCGGCUAACUACGUGCCAGCAGCCGCGGUAAUACGUAGGCAGCAAGCGUUGUUCGGAGUUGCUGGGCGUAAAGAGUGCGUAGGCGGUUUUCUAAGUUCGGUGUGAAAUCUCCCGGCUUAACUGGGAGGGUGCGCCGAAGACUGGGAAGCUGGAGUGUGGGAAAGGCAGGCGGAAUUCCUGGUGUAGGGGUGAAAUGCGUAGAUAUCAGGAGGAACACCGGCGGUGUAGACGGCUUGCUAGACCAUAACUGACGCUGAGGCACGAAAGCGUGGGUAGCAA
rnacentral:rRNA from 1 species